rnacentral:rRNA from 1 species
CAAUAGCGUAUAUUUAAGUUGUUGCAGUUAAAAAGCUCGUAGUUGGAUUUCGGAUGGGACUUGCCGGUCCGUCGUUUCGAUGUGCACUGGCCAGUCCUAUCUUGUUGUCGGGGACUAGCUCCUGGGCUUCACUGUCCGGGACUAGGAGCUGACGAGGUUACUUUGAGUAAAUUAGAGUGUUCAAAGCAAGCCUACGCUCUGAAUACAUUAGCAUGGAAUAACGCGAUAGGACUCUGGCUUAUCUUGUUGGUCUGUGAGACCAGAGUAAUGAUUAAGAGGGACAGUCGGGGGCAUUCGUAUUUCAUUGUCAGAGGUGAAAUUCUUGGAUUUAUGAAAGACGAACUUCUGCGAAAGCAUUUGUCAAGGAUGUUUNCAUUA